rnacentral:ncRNA from 1 species
GAAAGCCGUAUUCGAUGAAAGUCGUAUGUAGGGCUUGGAGGGAGAUCUUUCCUAUCUUUCGAGAUCAGUAAAUUUGAAUUGAGACACCUAUUCCAU